rnacentral:rRNA from 1 species
CCCUUAGAUGUUCUGGGCCGCACACGCGCUACACUGAAGGAGGCAGCGUGUACUCCUGGAUCGAAAGAUUUGGGUAACCCGCGAAUCUCCUUCGUGCUAGGGAUUGAGGUUUGCAAUUAUCCUUCAUGAACGAGGAGUUCCCAGUAAGUGCAAGUCAUAAGCUUGCGCUGACUACGUCCCUGCCCUUUGUACACACCGCCCGUCGCUACUACCGAUUGAAUGAUUUAGUGAGGACUUCGGACUGGGACCGAUGCGGCUUUCGGGCUGCGUCGGUAUUCUGGAAAGAUGUCCAAACUGUAUCAUUUAGAGGAAGUAAAAGUCGUANCA